rnacentral:rRNA from 1 species
AGUGAACGCUGGCGGUAGGCCUAACACAUGCAAGUCGAACGGCAGCACAGUAAGAGCUUGCUCUUACGGGUGGCGAGUGGCGUACGGGUGAGGAAUACAUCGGAAUCUACUUUUUCGUGGGGGCUAACGUAGGGAAACUUACGCUAAUACCGCAUACUACCUACGGGUGAAAGCAGGGGAUCUUCGGACCUUGCGCGAUUGAAUGAGCCGAUGUCGGAUUAGCUAGUUGGCGGGGUAAAGGCCCACCAAGGCGACGAUCCGUAGCUGGUCUGAGAGGAUGAUCAGCCACACUGGAACUGAGACACGGUCCAGACUCCUACGGGAGGCAGCAGUGGGGAAUAUUGGACAAUGGGCGCAAGCCUGAUCCAGCCAUACCGCGUGGGUGAAGAAGGCCUUCGGGUUGUAAAGCCCUUUUGUUGGGAAAGAAAAGCAGCAGGUUAAGACCCCGCUGUUCGGACGGUACCCAAAGAAUAAGCACCGGCUAACUUCGU